UUUAUGACCUAUACUGCAUUCCGUCACUAGAGGGUGCUGUUCUCGCAGUGGCUUCCCCCAGCGAGGAGGCAGACGGCGUCCAUUCUAUGUACAGUCUGUGAUCAGGGUUCACACUCAGCAAUCCACCCCGUCAUGUCAGUCAACAAUGGCCUUGGACUUGGAGGUGCUGAACUCUUUUAUAUAAUUUAGCUACUUUCGAACAAGUCUGAUCCAAACAUCAGUGUCAGUGUUAGUCAUGACCUGCAGCAUGGCUACAGAUCUGCUUAUUCAUGGUCUGUCAAAGUAAGCCAAAGUCAAUGUGAUGUUUGCUUAAAACAAGAUCCAUUAUCCUUAUUUUCAGUGCAUUAUUUAAUCCUCUUUUCUUCACCAGGAUGAGAUACCGAACCUUCUUUUCUUCAUUAUGCUAAAAUCAGGGUUACUAAGCUGUUUGAGGGAUUUGGGCGUCCACUGAGGUAUGAAGUGCAAACACUGUCUGGGGUAAGAGAUCUUCAUUAGUGCCACAGCUGGCACUGCUGCCUGGCAUUUACCUGCAAUUAUUGCAGAUAUGGAUUUUCAACUUUUAGAUUAAUUUUCAUUUAUAUCCUCAGGUACCUGCGUGAGGUCUGAAGUCCUGGGGUCAAAUUCAGAGUCACCAAACACCCAAUGAUCUCCUCGGCUGUAACACAAAACCAGAUUUUCUGUUGCUGUUUCAGGAUUCUGGUUUUCUUUUCUGUCUCCCGGGUUUAGCAGCAUAAUAAUAACUUCGCCAACAGAAUUGGAGCUUUUGCUGUUUUGUUCCCUGUUUGGCAAAGAAGCAUCAUUGGUGAGUUUAUUUACUUGCCUACUGUUUCCUAUAAGCCUUGGUUUUGAC